rnacentral:rRNA from 1 species
GAUGAACGCUAGCUACAGGCUUAACACAUGCAAGUCGAGGGGUAGCAGGGUAGCAAUACCGCUGACGACCGGCGCACGGGUGAGUAACACGUAUCCAACCUUCCCAUAACUCGGGGAUAGCCUUUCGAAAGAAAGAUUAAUACCCGAUAGUACUUUUUCAAGGCAUCUUGAGAAAGUUAAAGAUUUAUUGGUUAUGGAUGGGGAUGCGUUCCAUUAGAUAGUUGGUGAGGUAACGGCUCACCAAGUCUUCGAUGGAUAGGGGUUCUGAGAGGAAGGUCCCCCACAUUGGUACUGAGACACGGACCAAACUCCUACGGGAGGCAGCAGUGAGGAAUAUUGGUCAAUGGGCGAGAGCCUGAACCAGCCAAGUAGCGUGAAGGAUGAAGGUCUUAUGGAUUGUAAACUUCUCUUAUAGCAGAAUAAAGUGAUCCACGUGUGGAUUUUUGUAUGUAUACUAUGAAUAAGGAUCGGCUAACUCCGUGCCAGCAGCCGCCGUAA